GCUUGUCGGCAUAAGUGAGAGACAUGAGUACCAACAUAACGCCACAAAAAAUUCGAAAUUCGAAUAUAGGAUGUGUUCGUUCAGUAAAUAUUGUUGCAUUGUAACUUUUUUAAGAAAGCAUCACGUUCGCCGCGAAAAUUUCGGCAACAGUGGCAACGUCACACGUUCGUGCAAGAAAAUGUUAUCAAUCUGUUGCUCAUCACUAGCCAAUCAAACGCAACACAAAAAAAAAUUCUGCGCAUUUGAAAUAGAGGACGAAAUAAUAAAAUUAAGUUCAGCUGAGUCCAAAUUGUUGGUCAGGUGUCGACUGGACAUGGAGCAAGAGUUUUCUUGCGGCAAAAGAAAAAAAUCGGUUCUUUGGGGCAAAGUGUUGGACAAUAUAAAGACUGAAGCUCCUGAUUUAACUGCGACAAAAUAGCAACUCUAAAGAAAAUUCUUCAAAUGCUAGCAACUUACAAAAGAAUAAAAAAGCGGAAUAGAUCAACAGGUAGAGAUGCAACCACUUGGGAUUUUUUUAAUGAUUUUGAUGAAGUUUACAUUCAGUUGAUCCUCCAUCUGAAAACCUACAAAACUCAUUAGAUCUUCCAAGCUGCUCGACUGCAGAACACAUAAGAGCAAACGAAAUGUGCCGAGAGGACAAUGAUGUUGUGGAGAGUGUCUCAGACGUAAGGGGAAACCAGCAAAAUUUCGCUAAAAACAAACUCACAGUAUCGGGAAAUGAAACGUUGGAAUUUUUAAAAAAGGAAUCGGAAGAAGAAAAAGUCCGGCAUAGAGAAGUGAUGACGUUUGAAAAAAAAGAAAAGGCUAAAAUAAUGCUAAGAUUAAAAGAAGUGCUGGAUAAAUUUUUGCAAAAGUAACAUUUGCAAGUAUUUAGCUACAAAUUUGAUGAAAAGAAAAUCAGUUUUCUUAACCAUAGUUUUAAUUCAUUUAUUAAAUACAAUGCUGUGAAUAUA